AUUGAACGCUGGCGGCAUGCUUUACACAUGCAAGUCGAACGGCAGCGCGGGCUUCGGCCUGGCGGCGAGUGGCGAACGGGUGAGUAAUAUAUCGGAACGUACCCAGAAGUGGGGGAUAACGUAGCGAAAGUUACGCUAAUACCGCAUACGAUCUACGGAUGAAAGCAGGGGAUCGCAAGACCUUGUGCUUUUGGAGCGGCCGAUAUCUGAUUAGCUAGUUGGUAGGGUAAUGGCCUACCAAGGCGACGAUCAGUAGCUGGUCUGAGAGGACGACCAGCCACACUGGAACUGAGACACGGUCCAGACUCCUACGGGAGGCAGCAGUGGGGAAUUUUGGACAAUGGGGGCAACCCUGAUCCAGCAAUGCCGCGUGAGUGAAGAAGGCCUUCGGGUUGUAAAGCUCUUUUGUCAGGGAAGAAACGGCUGUGGCUAAUAUCCACGGCUAAUGACGGUACCUGAAGAAUAAGCACCGGCUAACUACGUGCCAGCAGCCGCGGUAAUACGUAGGGUGCAAGCGUUAAUCGGAAUUACUGGGCGUAAAGCGUGCGCAGGCGGUUUUGUAAGUCUGACGUGAAAUCCCCGGGCUUAACCUGGGAAUUGCGUUGGAGACUGCAAGGCUGGAGUCUGGCAGAGGGGGGUAGAAUUCCACGUGUAGCAGUGAAAUGCGUAGAGAUGUGGAGGAACACCGAUGGCGAAGGCAGCCCCCUGGGUCAAGACUGACGCUCAUGCACGAAAGCGUGGGGAGCAAACAGGAUUAGAUACCCUGGUAGUCCACGCCCUAAACGAUGUCUACUAGUUGUCGGGUUUUAAUUAACUUGGUAACGCAGCUAACGCGUGAAGUAGACCGCCUGGGGAGUACGGUCGCAAGAUUA
rnacentral:rRNA from 1 species